UUUACUUUGUCAAGAGACCAGAGCGAACGGUUCAUUGUCUGUUGUGCGGCGAAUUUCUCUCAAGCUCUAAGCGAAAAUGAGUGACAAACCAGACGUGUCCGAGGUAACCAAGUUCGAUAAAGGGAAGUUGAAGCACACCGAGACCCAGGAGAAAAAUCCUCUCCCAACGAAAGAAACAAUCGAGCAAGAGAAGAAAGGUUGACCCAGGAAAUUAUUUAAAACCCACUAGCAAGUUUGAUGUUACUCAAGAAUUUUGAUGUCUUCAUUUGUGUUUGCCUCUGCCUAGAAGAAGUUGUGCGUUUAUAGAGAAAUUAGAUGGAUAGCUGACUGUUUGUAAAGCCUCGGAUCGUCGCAUAAUUAUUUGAAGCAAAACCCACCUCGCUUUCCGAUCUGCGGUUUACAAUACAAGAUGCUAAUGUAUUCGCUUACACUUUCGUUGGGUAUAGACAAACAUAAUUGUAGUAAAAUAUUUUUGCACAAUUUAAAAAUAAACAGUUGAAUAUUGAA
rnacentral:lncRNA from 1 species